AGGUAGGGUGGCCGAGUAGGCGGCGAGCUGUAGCCUCGUGUACGGGCAGUAAGUCCCUCUAUCAA
rnacentral:tRNA from 1 species